GAGCAAUGCUGUUGAUAUAACGACCCAGCUCAGACAGGGAAGGAUUUCUAGUGGCUGCCACUGAUUUCCUACAGGAGGGCACUGUGGAAGGAAGGAGAGGUGGUACGCAUGGGGAAAGAUCAAAGUGCUUUCAGAGAUCUGCAGUAGUAUCGCAUUCUUCUUUCGAUUACGUGAGUGCAGCUGAAGACCUGGAGCAGCAGUGAUGAGGUGCAUGCACUGCAGCUACUCCCUUCCCUAUUCUCAUAGGAAGCUCAUGCGUUGAGGGAAGAAGUUCCCAGAGCUUUCUGUGCUGGUGAAAGAGGCAGCUGUGCUAAUUCUGAUACCGAGUAUUCUCUUACAAACUGAGAUGCUGCAAAACUCCUCAGAAGAGCAGAAAAGGAAGACUUACACCUCUGUCUGACACAGUUAAAAUCUCUCCCUGUGCACUUAUCAGCUUGCAUAUCUCUGUGAAACUCUGUGCUUCAGCGAGGGCUACAUCACUAGGCAACUACUGCAAAGAAACAUGAGUUCUACAGGAUUUCAGGGAAGAAUUCUUCCUCUACUUUUGUUCACUUCUGAGUUUGUUUCUUGGCACCCUCUUCCUUAAUGUGAGGUCAGCCAGAGUACUUUCACAGUUUUUCCUGUCUGUUUUGUCGUUUGUUUCUGUUUCGCAGGCUUACAGCUCCGAAGUCUUUCCAAGAGAGAAGAGAAACCAAACUGGAAGAUGAGAGCAUUGCACAGGCACCAAAUGCUGUUUCUGUUCAACCUUUGUUUCAUCGAGAAAAGUGGGUGUCUAAAAUCAAAGCACGCAUUACUUCCCAUCACUUACUUGUAAUCUGAGACUAGUGUUUUAGUGGAGUCUGCUGCCAGACUACAGAGAAAAGGAAACUUAGUGGAUCACCAGGUUUUUCAGCCUCUGAGAAAGAUAACCAACCAAGCACCAAGAGACAGGAUAGAAGCAUGAAGGUGGUAAUUAACCACAUAGCUGAUUUUGGACUGUUACCAUGCUACCAGAAAAACAUGCUGGGAGAAGCCAUCAUCCACCGUGAAUGAGUUUUCUUGUAUAUGGAAUCCACUUGUUUAAUAGGGCUCUUUUUGAGACUCAAUGAGACUCACUUUAAACAAUAACAGAAUCACAAAAUCACAGAGUUGUAGGAGUUGGAAAGGACCUCUAGAAAUCAUCGAGUCCAACCUCUUCUGCUAAAGGAGUUCCCUGCAGCAGGUCACACAGGAAAGUGUCCAGGUCGGUUUUGAAUAUCUCCAGAGAAGGAGACUCCACAACAUCUCUGGGCAG
rnacentral:lncRNA from 7 species